UACGUAUGGUGCAAGCGUUAUCCGGAUUUACUGGGUGUAAAGGGAGCGUAGGCGGCGCGUUAAGUCUGAUGUGAAAACCCGAGGCUCAACCACGGGAGUGCAUUGGAAACUGGCGGGCUGGAGUGCCGGAGAGGUAGGCGGAAUUCCUAGUGUAGCGGUGAAAUGCGUAGAUAUUAGGAGGAACACCAGUGGCGAAGGCGGCUUACUGGACGGCAACUGACGCUGAGGCUCGAAAGCGUGGGGAGCAAACAGG
rnacentral:rRNA from 1 species